UCUUCUCUGGUAUAUCGGUAGAACAUCACCCUGUCAUGUUUCUGGGAGUCCAACCCAGUAAACCGCCUCGGUGAAGAGCUGGGUUCGACUCCCAGGAGGAGAG